GUGCGUUUGCUGGCAGCCUACACAUGCAAGUCGAGCGGAUGAGAAGAGCUUGCUCUUCGAUUCAGCGGCGGACGGGUGAGUAAUGCCUAGGAAUCUGCCUGGUAGUGGGGGACAACGUUUCGAAAGGAACGCUAAUACCGCAUACGUCCUACGGGAGAAAGCAGGGGACCUUCGGGCCUUGCGCUAUCAGAUGAGCCUAGGUCGGAUUAGCUAGUUGGUGGGGUAAUGGCUCACCAAGGCGACGAUCCGUAACUGGUCUGAGAGGAUGAUCAGUCACAGUGGGACUGAGACACGGUCCAGACUCCUACGGGAGGCAGCAGUGGGGAAUAUUGGACAAUGGGCGAAAGCCUGAUCCAGCCAUGCCGCGUGUGUGAAGAAGGUCUUCGGAUUGUAAAGCACUUUAAGUUGGGAGGAAGGGCAGUAAGCGAAUACCUUGCUGUUUUGACGUUACCGACAGAAUAAGCACCGGCUAACUCUGUGCCAGCAGCCGCGGUAAUACAGAGGGUGCAAGCGUUAAUCGGAAUUACUGGGCGUAAAGCGCGCGUAGGUGGUUUGUUAAGUUGAAUGUGAAAGCCCCGGGCUCAACCUGGGAACUGCAUCCAAAACUGGCAAGCUAAGAGUACGGAAAGGGUUGGUGGAAUU
rnacentral:rRNA from 1 species